rnacentral:rRNA from 1 species
GACGAACGCUGGCGGCGUGCUUAACACAUGCAAGUCGAACGGAGCGAAUGAAAGCUUGCUUUUAUGAGCUUAGUGGCAAACGGGUGAGUAACACGUAGACAACCUGCCGAUCAGAUGGGGACAACAUUCCGAAAGGAAUGCUAAUACCGAAUGGCGUGGAGGGAAGGCAUCUUCCUUUCAUGAAAGAUGGCCUCUAUUUAUAAGCUAUCACUGAUCGAUGGGUCUGCGUCUGAUUAGCUGGUAGGUAAGGUAACGGCUUACCUAGGCGACGAUCAGUAGCCGGUCUGAGAGGAUGAACGGCCUCAUUGGGACUGAGACACGGCCCAGACUCCUACGGGAGGCUGCAGUGGGGAAUCUUCCGCAAUGGGCGCAAGCCUGACGGAGCAACGCCGCGUGAGUGAAGAAGGUCUUCGGAUCGUAAAGCUCUGUUGAAGGGGACGAACGUACAUAAGUUGAAUAAGCUUAUGUAAUGACG